CUUCCCUCUUAAAACUGCUUUUGCUGCAUCCCAUAAAUUUUGAAAAAUUGUAUUUUCAUUUGUUUCAAGAUAGUUUUUGAUUUACUGUUUGAUUUCCACUUUGAUCCAUUGGUGGUUCGGUACCAUGUUUAGAUCCAUAUAUUGUUUUUUAGUUUUCUUCUUGUAGCUGAUUUCUAGUUUUGUGCCAUUGUGGUUGGAAAAGAUGUUUGAUAUGAUGAUGUCAGUUUUCUUGAAUUUAUUGCAGCUUGUUUUGUGGCCUAAUAUGUGAGCUAUUCUAGAGAAUGUUCCACGUGCACUUAAAAACUGUAUUCUGGAGUUUUGGGAUGAAAUGUUCUGACAAGGAACAGCAGGUGGUGCUGGGUGCCAGGGCUAACCCUCAAGGGGCCGCAGCUGUCAUGUAGACCACCCUAUCCUGUCACAGAGUGUCUGUUACUUGUCAAUCCCAAACUGCAGAAAGUAGCGUUUCCUUCAAGAACGCUUAACACCAAUAUGAGAACCUAUUUUGGAUCACUACAGUCUCUCCAAAGUAUUUCACUACGUAAUGCACUUUUCAAGGUAUUCACCGUCUGUUAGAAGGGCCCCCACCUGAAUGUAAUGCACUUUUCAAGGUAUUCACGGUCUGUUAGAAGGGCCCCCACCUGAAUGUUCAAAUUGACCCUGUUACCUAGGAAUUCCUUCUGCCCAGGAGAAGCCACUUUUCAGGAUGAUGAAUGGGGGCUAAGACUUCCAGGUUCAGGCACCAAAAGCCUCACAGUGAGAACACGUGUGAACGUUGCAGGAACACCUGGAGACAGGAUGGGGCAUGACACUGACAUUGGGCUCCUCCCUUUACAAGUGAGGAGCUCAGAACCCUUUACAAGUGAAAGAAGUAACGUCACAAUGCUAGGAUGUUGUGUUUUUAUUGAAACAAGUAAAUCAGACAAUUACAAGAAUUGUACAAAAAUUAACAGAGCCUGUGAUGACUCCCUCAGGUCCAACCGGGUGACAUCUGCACAUUCAUCUCCUUCCACAAAAGCUCCUGGGCCUGGAGCGGGAAGGAGGUUCCCCCCCACACACACCGUCUCCUAGCACAGAGACGAGAGCUAGGUCACUUUUCUCCCCCCUCUGCUGCUCCUGACCCCUCCAUGACCCCUCCAUGGAAGGCAGCAAAGAGCAGGCUGGGCCUCAGGUGGUUAAAUAGAACUUGUUGGCACUGCUCAGAUGAGCACUUCUCCCGGCUCCAGAGCAUGGGCUGGAGAGGAACAGGGCAGAGAACACCAAUCUCAUU